rfam:Gossypium hirsutum cultivar TM-1 chromosome 25, whole genome shotgun sequence
AAACCAUGUAUCGGGCAUUUUCUAAUUAGUUCUUUGAAACGCUUCUAUGCUUCAUAUAAUGUUUCAUCUUACGAUUUCCUAAACGAUGUAAUGUCUUUCCUAAGCUU